UGAGGAAUAUUGGUCAAUGGGCGUGAGCCUGAACCAGCCAAGUAGCGUGUAGGAAGACGGCCCUAUGGGUUGUAAACUGCUUUUAUGCGGGGAUAAAGGAGUCCACGUGUGGAUUUUUGCAGGUACCGCAUGAAUAAGGACCGGCUAAUUCCGUGCCAGCAGCCGCGGUAAUACGGAAGGUCCGGGCGUUAUCCGGAUUUAUUGGGUUUAAAGGGAGCGUAGGCCGCGUUUUAAGCGUGUUGUGAAAUGUAGACGCCCAACGUCUGCAUCGCAGCGCGAACUGGGACGCUUGAGUACGCGCAACGUUGGCGGAAUUCGUCGUGUAGCGGUGAAAUGCUUAGAUAUGACGAGGAACUCCGAUUGCGAAGGCAGCUGACGGGAGCGGCACUGACGCUUAAGCUCGAAGGUGCGGGUAUCAAACAGG
rnacentral:rRNA from 1 species